rnacentral:rRNA from 1 species
CCCGCUCAGAAACUUAAAGGAAUUGACGGGGCCCGCACAAGCGGUGGAGUAUGUGGUUUAAUUCGAUGCAACGCGAAGAACCUUACCUGGUCUUGACAUCCCGGAGACCCUUAGGAAACUAGGGGGUGCUUCCAUCUGGAAGAAUCUGGAGACAGGUGCUGCAUGGCUGUCGUCAGCUCGUGUCGUGAGAUGUUGGGUUAAGUCCCGCAACGAGCGCAACCCUUGCCUUUAGUUGCCAGCAGUUCGGCUGGGCACUCUAAAGGGACUGCCGGUGUUAAACCGGAGGAAGGUGGGGAUGACGUCAAGUCCUCAUGGCCUUUAUGACCAGGGCUACACACGUACUACAAUGGCCGAUACAAAGGGCAGCGACACUGCGAGGUGAAGCCAAUCCCGUAAAAUCGGUCUCAGUCCGGAUUGGAGUCUGCAACUCGACUCCAUGAAGUUGGAAUCGCUAGUAAUCGUGGAUCAGCAUGCCACGGUCGAAUACGUUCCGGGACCUU